GAUGAACGCUGGCGGCGUGCCUAAUACAUGCAAGUCGAGCGAACUGAAGAGGAGCUUGCUCCUUUGACGUUAGCGGCGGACGGGUGAGUAACACGUGGGUAACCUACCUAUAAGACUGGAAUAACUCCGGGAAACCGGGGCUAAUGCCGGAUAAUAUGUUGAACCGCAUGGUUCAACAGUGAAAGACGGUUUUGCUGUCACUUAUAGAUGGACCCGCGCCGCAUUAGCUAGUUGGUGAGGUAACGGCUCACCAAGGCGACGAUGCGUAGCCGACCUGAGAGGGUGAUCGGCCACACUGGAACUGAGACACGGUCCAGACUCCUACGGGAGGCAGCAGUAGGGAAUCUUCCGCAAUGGACGAAAGUCUGACGGAGCAACGCCGCGUGAGUGAUGAAGGUCUUCGGAUCGUAAAGCUCUGUUGUUAGGGAAGAACAAAUGUGUAAGUAACUGUGCACAUCUUGACGGUACCUAACCAGAAAGCCACGGCUAACUACGUGCCAGCAGCCGCGGUAAUACGUAGGUGGCAAGCGUUAUCCGGAAUUAUUGGGCGUAAAGCGCGCGUAGGCGGUUUUUUAAGUCUGAUGUGAAAGCCCACGGCUCAACCGUGGAGGGUCAUUGGAAACUGGAAAACUUGAGUGCAGAAGAGGAAAGUGGAAUUCCAUGUGUAGCGGUGAAAUGCGCAGAGAUAUGGAGGAACACCAGUGGCGAAGGCGGCUUUCUGGUCUGCAACUGACGCUGAUGUGCGAAAGCGUGGGGAUCAAACAGGAUUAGAUACCCUGGUAGUCCACGCCGUAAACGAUG
rnacentral:rRNA from 1 species